GACGAACGCUGGCGGCGUGCUUAACACAUGCAAGUCGAACGGAAAGGCCCUGCUUGCAGGGUACUCGAGUGGCGAACGGGUGAGUAACACGUGGGUGAUCUGCCCUGCACUUCGGGAUAAGCCUGGGAAACUGGGUCUAAUACCGGAUAGGAGCCAUUUUUAGUGUGAUGGUUGGAAAGUUUUUUCGGUGUAGGAUGAGCUCGCGGCCUAUCAGCUUGUUGGUGGGGUAAUGGCCUACCAAGGCGGCGACGGGUAGCCGGCCUGAGAGGGUGGAGGGCCACAUUGGGACUGAGAUACGGCCCAGACUCCUACGGGAGGCAGCAGUGGGGAAUAUUGCACAAUGGGCGCAAGCCUGAUGCAGCGACGCCGCGUGGGGGAUGACGGCCUUCGGGUUGUAAACUCCUUUCGCUAGGGACGAAGCUUUUUGUGACGGUACCUAGAUAAGAAGCACCGGCUAACUACGUG
rnacentral:rRNA from 1 species